CUACUACCGAUUGAAUGGCUCAGUGAGGCCUUCGGACUGGCUUAGGGAGGUUGGCAACGACCACCCCGAGCCGGAAAGUUCGUCAAACUCGGUCAUUUAGAGGAAGUAAAAGUCGUAACAAGGUU
rnacentral:rRNA from 1 species